AUGUUCACUUCAGCAGCACAAAUAGUAAAGGUGCAACUAUAGAGAAGGUUUAGCAUGGCCCCUGGGCAAGGAUAGUAUGCAAAUUUGUGACACAUUCCAUAUAUUU
ensembl:snRNA U6 U6 spliceosomal RNA